UUAUGGCUCAGGAUGAACGCUAGCUACAGGCUUAACACAUGCAAGUCGAGGGGCAGCAUGAAGGAAGCUUGCUUCCUUGAUGGCGACCGGCGCACGGGUGAGUAACGCGUAUCCAACCUUCCCCUGACUCCGGAAUAGCCCGGUGAAAACCGGAUUAAUGCCGGAUGCGGUCCGGAGAGGACAUCUGACCUGGACCAAAGGCUUGCCGGUCAGGGAUGGGGAUGCGUCUGAUUAGGUUGUUGGCGGGGUAACGGCCCACCAAGCCGUCGAUCAGUAGGGGUUCUGAGAGGAAGGUCCCCCACAUUGGAACUGAGACACGGUCCAAACUCCUACGGGAGGCAGCAGUGAGGAAUAUUGGUCAAUGGGCGAGAGCCUGGACCAGCCAAGUAGCGUGGAGGAUGACGGCCCUACGGGUUGUAAACUCCUUUUAUCAGGGGAUAAAGUCCGCUACGUGUAGCGGUUUGCAGGUACCUGAUGAAUAAGGACCGGCUAAUUCCGUGCCAGCAGCGGC
rnacentral:rRNA from 1 species